AGAAUCAACGCUGGCGGCGUGCCUAACACAUGCAAGUCGCACGAGAAAGGGACUUCGGUCCUGAGUAAAGUGGCGCACGGGUGAGUAACACGUGAAUAAUCUACCUCCGAGUGGGGAAUAACUGAGAGAAAUCUUAGCUAAUACCGCAUAAUACCCACGGGUCAAAGCAGCAAUGCGCUUGGAGAGGAGUUCGCGGCCGAUUAGCUAGUUGGCGGGUAAUGGCCCACAAGGCGAUGAUCGGUA
rnacentral:rRNA from 1 species